AGCUGCACAGUGCCUGCCUGGCAAGCACAAGGCCCUGAGUUCGAUUCCUGAUAUCAAAAACAAAACAAGUGAACCUCUAUAGGCCAGUGCCAAAGAACUGGCAGCUUGGCCAAGUAGGCAGAAACUUCUCAUCUCCAAUAAAUUGAAGAGGUAGAAUCCUGCAGUAGACUCAAAACUCAAAAACUAGCUACACCAGGAAGAUGCUUCUGAGAAGUAGUCAUUUCCUACGGGUCCUGAAUACUAAUAAUAAAGCUACUUGCCAUAAGCAAUUUACAAGCAUCAACCCAGGAAUCAAACUUUAAAAAAAUAGAAAAUGAGAGGACACUUAAAUAAGAUGCAGCCCCCCCAGACUUUCAACUCACCAAAGGCAAACCCCGGGGGCAAUGAAGUGGAACAAUCCAAAAGCCACCCACCUGGACUCUCUCUCUCUUCUGGUAACAGCAGAAGUAACAAAGCAGAUGAACGAGGCUCUAGAAAAAAUCAAAGCAGAAAUAAUUUCCCAAGAGAUGGUGACCAGAGUGAAAGACAUGCUUAGUGACUCUAGAGUAGAUACAGAUAAAAGAACAGAGGAGCUCAGGAACAUGAUGAAAACCAUGAAUGCCAAAAUAGGAAAGAAAUGGAAUCCAUGAAACAGAUUCAAACAGAUACCUGGAUUGAAGACGCAUCAUCCCAUAUACUCCACACUGCCAAGUCAUUAACACUGAACUCACCCUGGACAGAACAGAACUUUUGCCUGAAUAAAGCUUAUUUGCCACAUGUGCUUCUUCUCGGGCCUAUCCAAGCCUUUGGAAAUUAGGGUCACUGGCAGCAGUGUGACACUGUGCUGGUGGCUGCUGAGCAUGUAAAAUAACAAACAAAAGCCACCCAAAUGUGCAGGAUUCCUGCCAAAUCCUUACCUGCACAGGCCAGGUGUCCACAGAGCCUGGCAAAAGCAGCCACUGGGCACCAGGGAUGGGAGUCCCUUCCAUCAUCUGGGCAAUGGGGAGCUAAGUUGACUUAUAAAGAUUAAAUCAGUAAUGUACAGAAAUAACUCACAAACUAAUCAGAUGACUUAAAAGGGAAAGAUUAUGAUGGUACUAAAACUAUUUUUGAAGGAUACUCAUUUGUAGUAUAAGAGAUGAAACAAAACAGGACUCAGACAUCUCGGUACUGUGUCCCUGAAUGUCUGUGACUGCAUCAUGAGUGCUGCUGCUGGAUUAGGAUAAAGUGACACAUCUGCAAAUAUGGACUCCACAAAUAAUGACAAGCGACUGGUAGUAAAUUUUAUUAGCAAAAGUUAAAAAAAGUAAACCUAGGGCCGGGGAUUUAGCUCAGUGGUUUCGUCGCCUGCUGCGCAAAUGCAAGGACCCGAGUUCGAUCCCCAGUACCAAAAAAAAAAAAGUAAACCUAAAUAUCUAAAGGAAUUGGCAAAAUAACUACACAUAUAUUCAGAAAUACAAAUUAAACACAGCUCUUAAACACACAAAAAGGUGCUGACGUCACAGUAAGAUAAAUAAAACCUCAGCCAGGGAUGGUGGCACACACUUAUAAUCCCAGUACUUGGGAGGCUGAGGCAGGCAGAUAACAAGCUUGAGGCCCAUUUGGGCCACACAGUGAGACUCAAGUCUCCAAAACCACCCCCACCCAGCCAAGCUCAGUGCACACACCUGUGACCCUAUCACUCUGGGCAAAGGGGCCGAAAAUUCAAGCACCACCUGGGCAAUACAGCCACUUAGCAAACCUGUCUCAAGAUAAGAAAUAAAAAUAGGGCUGGGGGUGUAGCGCAGCUCAACCCCAAGCACUGUAAAAAUCAAGCAGAAAACCCAUGCAGCAUGAGAGAAUCAUUUUAAACUAUUAGACUGAAAAGAUCCAACGGUUUGAUACACUACUGGUUACACUGAGGGAAACAGAAACUCAACUUGGGUGGAAAUGCAAAUUAAUAAACUUCUCCUGAGAGCAAUUGGGCAAAAAUCUAUUAAAAUAUUAAGUGCUUCAAUCCAGGAAUUCUACUUCUAGAUACAAAUUGGUUAUUCCUAAAGAUGUAUUACUUCUACCAAAAGAAUUAUGUAAAAGAACAGUAGCUUUAGUAUUAGAGAGAAAACGACAGGGAAAAAUCUGAACUUUCUUUUUUGUAGUGCUGACUACAUCCCCAGCCUAAACAUAAACUUUUCAUCUACAAUAGGUCAAUUAAGUAACAUAUACUUCCUUACAUAAGAAUAACCUCCAACGGUAUAAAUAAAGAAGACAGCUGCAGGGUGUGGUGGUGCACACCUAUAAUCCCAGGACUCCUGAGGCUGAGGAAGGAGGAUCGCUGUGAGUUCAAGGCCAGCCUGGGCUACCCAGUGAGACCCUGUCUCAACCCCUCUCCCCCAAACAGUUCUAUAUACUAAUAUGAAGUAGUCUUCAGGAUAUACAUAUUAAGGAAAAAGUACUUAUUAAAGAACACUGAAUUACCUGCAAAAAUAAAAAAUUUAAAGGGGUAACAAUAGACCAGGUUUAUUUUAAUUACAUUGUUUAAUUUGUAAGAAAUGUGUAUGGAAUAAAAAUUUAAGGUUGGGGUGGGGAUUUAGCUUGGUGGCACUGUACCUGUCUGGCAAUUGCAAGGUCCUGCGUUCAAUUCCUGGUACCGAAAAAAAAAAUUUAAGGUAAAUAGAAUACUGCCCUGAGGUGGUAAUUAAUGCACACACAUAAAUAUGUAUUUAUGCAAAUAACAGGACACAGUUCUGCAUUGUGCUUUUUUUUUCAUUUAAAAGUAUUAAACAGGGCCAAGGAUUUAGCUCAGUGGCACAGCACCUGCCUCACAAGCGCAAGGUCCUGAGUUUGAUUCCUGGUACCAAAAAAACCCAAAAGUAUUAAACAUAUCUUUCAAUCUGACUAUUCCACAUAUACCAAAGCAACAAUGUUGCUUUUAACAAAGAACUAAACAAGCCGAAUCAUGUUCAAAAAUUAACUGAAGCUAUUUUACAACUUUCAUAAACAAGAAUAACAAUGGAGAAAGAAUAACCACUUAACAAAUUUACCCCAAGCAUCCUUGGGCAGUGUGUUUAUUUACGUACUAGGGCAGGUGUCAUUUCAACCAAUCAGUUCUUACACUGAUAAAAUCGUUUUUAUUUUAUUUAUUUUUGUGUGGGUUUUUUUUUUUUUUUUUUUUGGUACCAGGGAUUGAACUCGGGACCUUGCGCUUUCAAUGCAGGCGCUGGAACCACUGAGCUAAAUCCCCGGCCCUUAUUUUUGAGACAGGUUCUCACUAUGUAGUCCAGGCUGGCCUCGAACUUGGGGUAAUUCUCCUGCCUCAAUAUCCUAUGGGCUAAGAUUACAGGCAUGUGCCACUAUGCCCAACAAUUGUUUUUAUAUUUCCUAUUAUCUUAUAAAAAUUAAUGAAGAAAAAUAUGCAAUAUUUGGUCAUCCUGUAUUUAAAUAAUUUGCCUAGUAAGUGGUUAAAAUCUUACCAGCAGAGACUAUAAUACUCAGCUGUGCCUGCAGAAAGCAGGCUUUGUUAUUUUUCGUGGGAAGCAAUGUAUGAUGUACAGAACUACUUAGAACCUAGGAACCAGGAUACAAAAUUAAUCAUCUAUAAAAUUAUACCUAUAAAACUUCUAAGCAAAAGGACCCAAAAUAGACUUAUGGCCAAGUACAAAAAUGUGUCAAUAAAGCCAUAUUUGGUAUCUAUGUCUCAUGAGUCUGAGAGGUAUAUAGUAUCACUGUUUAAUAUACUUUCUUUUGACCACUACAAAACUAAUUAUUCAGAAGCAUGUGAUGAAUGAAAUUUGCUCUAGGGUGCGGUGUAGGUAGCUCCGAGCACUUGUGUGGCACAUGUCAGGCCCUCCCAGCACUGCCAAAAAGAAAGCUGUUCACAAAUGGGAAAGGUGGCAGGGCAUGGUGGUGCACGCUUGUCAUCCCAGGACUCUGAGAAGCUAAGGUGGGAGCAUCUCAAGUUCAACUUAACAAGGCAAAUUAACCCAGGAAACAUAGCAAGACCUUGUGUCAAAAAAUAAAAAGGGGGCCGGGGAUUUAGCUCAGUGGUUCCAACUGCCUGCCUCGCAAGUGUAAGGACCCAAGUUCGAUCCCUGGUACCAAAAUAAAUAAAUAAAUAAAAAAUAAAAUAAAAAGGGACACUGCACCUGCCUUGUGAGCACAAGGUCCUGAGUUUGAUCCCUGGUACCCCCAAAAAUAUAAAUAAAUAAAAAGGGGCCAGGGCCAUAGCUCUGGAUUCAAUUCCCAAUACCACAAAAAAUAAAUAAGUAUGUAAAAUGGGAAAAAUGAUUCAGUGAACUAAGUCAUCUGGCCAAGCAUUCAUGAAGCAAUGAAACAUUUGGCUUUUUGGUUUUUGGGGGGUUUUUUGGUACUAGGGAUAGAACUCGGGUCCUUGUGGUUGCGCAGCAGGCGGCAAAACGACUGAGCUAAAUCCCUGGCCCUGAAACAUUUGUUAAAACCAACUGGUGUUUGGAAAAUGGGGAUGGGCCAGGCAUGUAGCUCAGAGGUGCAAGCACAAGGUUGAGUUCAAUUCCCAGUACUGGAAAAAAAAAAAGAAAGAAAAUGGGGAAGAAGCUGGAGGUGGACUUGUUUUUCUGUUGUCCUGUUGCAGACUACAAAACAGCAUAAUACACGACGUGACCAUUUUCAGGCACUGGGUAGGUGCUGGCCCAGGGAGUGGCUUCCAGCCUGUGGAGGCAGCUGAGGCUACGGCCAGUUCCCCAGCCCAGGCAGCUGGCUGCACCUCAGGUCUCGGGCGGAGGUGCUGGAGCCUGAGGAGACAGGGACCAGAGAGGGACACGAAGAGAAGGAGCAGAAGUCUGGAAGGAUCCCAGGCAGAUCCACACCCAAGUCCUAUUUGCAUGUGUGCAGGACAGAGGUCCACAGGGCCGGCUGGCAAGAGCAGCUGCUGGCAGAGCCAAGCCAGAGACGGACAGCUCAGAGUUGCAUGGAUGCGCUGUGUGGCUCAGGAUGGGCAUUUCCUCAUCUGUGAGAGGGGACAAUGGAGUCUAAC
rnacentral:lncRNA from 1 species